rnacentral:rRNA from 1 species
GGUCGUAGUUCGGAUUGAGGGCUGAAACUCGCCCUCAUGAAGCUGGAUUCGGUAGUAAUCGCGCCUCAGAAGGGCGCGGUGAAUACGUCCCUGCUCCUUGCACACACCGCCCGUCAAAGCACCCGAGUGAGGUCCGGAUGAGGCCCUGUUUCAGGGUCGAAUCUGGGCUUCGCAAGGGGGCUUAAGUCGUAACAAGGUAGCCGUAGGGGAAUCUGCGGCUGGAUCACCUCCA